rnacentral:rRNA from 1 species
UUUUGUAUAAUGGGUCAGCGACUUAUAUUCUGUAGCAAGGUUAACCGUAUAGGGGAGCCGGAGGGAAACCGAGUCUUAACCGGGCGUUAAGUUGCAGGGUAUAGACCCGAAACCCGGUGAUCUAGCCAUGGGCAGGUUGAAGGUUGGGUAACACUAACUGGAGGACCGAACCGACUAAUGUUGAAAAAUUAGCGGAUGACCUGUGGCUGGGGGUGAAAGGCCAAUCAAACCGGGAGAUAGCUGGUUCUCCCCGAAAGCUAUUUAGGUAGCGCCUCGUGAAUUCAUCUCCGGGGGUAGAGCACUGUUUCGGCUAGGGGGCCAUCCCGGCUUACCAACCCGAUGCAAACUGCGAAUACCGGAGAAUGUUAUCACGGGAGACACACGGCGGGUGCUAACGUCCGUCGUGAAGAGGGAAACAACCCAGACCGCCAGCUAAGGUCCCAAAGUCAUGGUUAAGUGGGAAACGAUGUGGGAAGGCCCAGACAGCCAGGAUGUUGGCUUAGAAGCAGCCAUCAUUUAAAGAAAGCGUAAUAGCUCACUGGUCGAGUCGGCCUGCGCGGAAGAUGUAACGGGGCUAAACCAUGCACCGAAGCUGCGGCAGCGAACGUAUCACCCAAGACAACUUUACGGAGUUGACGAUUGACGGAGCGAAGCGACGUCAAAGCGUUCAUUAAAGUCGAGUUGGCUUAGGGAUACGUUCGUUGGGUAGGGGAGCGUUCUGUAAGCCUGUGAAGGUGUGUCGUGAGGCAUGCUGGAGGUAUCAGAAGUGCGAAUGCUGACAUAAGUAACGAUAAAGCGGGUGAAAAGCCCGCUCGCCGGAAGACCAAGGGUUCCUGUCCAACGUUAAUCGGGGCAGGGUGAGUCGACCCCUAAGGCGAGGCCGAAAGGCGUAGUCGAUGGGAAACGGGUUAAUAUUCCCGUACUUGGUGUUACUGCGAAGGGGGGACGGAGAAGGCUAUGUUGGCCGGGCGACGGUUGUCCCGGUUUAAGCGUGUAGGUGUGUGUUCCAGGUAAAUCCGGUUCACUUUAACACUGAGGCGUGACGACGAGGCACUACGGUGCUGAAGCAACAAAUGCCCUGCUUCCAGGAAAAGCCUCUAAGCAU